rnacentral:rRNA from 1 species
UACGUAGGGUGCAAGCGUUGUCCGGAAUUAUUGGGCGUAAAGAGCUCGUAGGCGGUUCGUCGCGUCGGCUGUGAAAACCCGGAGCUCAACUCCGGGCCUGCAGUCGAUACGGGCGGACUCGAGUUCGGCAGGGGAGACUGGAAUUCCUGGUGUAGCGGUGAAAUGCGCAGAUAUCAGGAGGAACACCGGUGGCGAAGGCGGGUCUCUGGGCAACACUGACGCUGAGGAGCGAAAGCGUGGGGAGCGAACAGG